GAUGAACGCUGGCGGCGUGCCUAAUACAUGCAAGUCGAGCGAAGCGGGGACGGGUGAGUAACACGUGGAUAACCUCCUAUAAGACUGGGAUAACUUCGGGAAACCGGAGCUAAACCGGAUACUUAUAGAUGGAUCCGCGCUGCAUUAGCUAGUUGGUAAGGUAACGGCUUACCAAGGCAACGAUGCAUAGCCGACCUGAGAGGUUGAUCGGCCACAUUGGAAUGGAGACACGGCCAAGACUCCAACGGGAGGCACCAGUGGGGAAUUUUCGGCAAUGGGGCAAACCCUGACGGGGAAAGGCCGCUUGGGUGAUGAGGGUCUUCGGUUCGUAAACUCUUUUUAUUAGGGAAGCGGUCCCUAACCAGAAAGCCCCGGCUAACUCCUUGCCAGCAGCCGCGGUAAUAC
rnacentral:rRNA from 1 species